UACGUAGGGGGCUAGCGUUGUCCGGAUUUAUUGGGCGUAAAGCGCGCGUAGGUGGCUUCGUAAGUCCGUUGUGAAAGUCAAAGGCUCAACCUUUGAAAGCCGAUGGAUACUGUGAAGCUAGAGUACGGAAGAGGCGAGUGGAAUUCCUGGUGUAGCGGUGGAAUGCGCAGAUAUCAGGAGGAACACCAAUAGCGAAGGCAGCUCGCUGGGACGUUACUGACACUGAGGCGCGAAAGCGUGGGGAGCGAACAGG
rnacentral:rRNA from 1 species